rnacentral:lncRNA from 1 species
CAUCUCCGUCAAAUUUUUUCAGCGUCUAGUUUCACCUCUUCCCACAUGUUUUAGGUUGUGGGAAAAACUCAGUCACAGGUUCUCUUCAAAAAAUUUGAGGUUAGUUGAGUUUUUCGGCCGCAAAUUCCUCAUGUAUAUAUUUUGAUCUUCAUGUAUCGUCUUUUUUCUAUUUUUCUAUUUUAAACUUGAGAGAAAUUGACUAACCUAGGCCCUGGACGUACAAGUGUAAUAGUCUAUUUUAAAAAGCACACUAAUUGAGUUGUACAUUUUCUAUUUGGCUG